rnacentral:tRNA from 1 species
GCGUCUGUAGCUCAGUUGGUUAGAGCACGACCUUGGCAUGGUGGGGGUCGAUGGUUCGAGUCCAUUCAGACGCACCA